CAGUCGCCACGGUAAAACGAGGGGGGCGAGCGUUGUUCGGAAUUAUUGGGCGUAAAGGGUGCGUAGGCGGUUUGGUAAGUCUUGUGUGAAAUCUUCGGGCUCAACUCGAAGUCUGCAUGAGAAACUGCCGGGCUUGAGUAUGGGAGAGGUGAGUGGAAUUCCCGGUGUAGCGGUGAAAUGCGUAGAGAUCGGGAGGGACAUCAGUGGCGAAGGCGGCCAUCUGGGACAACACUGACGCUGAGGCACGAAAGCGUGGGGAGCGAACAGGAUUAGAUACCCGCGUAGUCCCUGUCUCUUAUAA
rnacentral:rRNA from 1 species